AGAUGAAUUUAUUUCUCCUUCACUUUCAUUGGUUCCAGGUGGAGGUGGCUGAGCAGACUGUUGGAGGGGUGGAGGUGGCAGAAGUAAGGUGUGACCUGCAAGGUCUUUUGGUGGGGGCCCUGGAGGAGGAGGUGGUAGAGGUGGAGGAGGCAGUGACACACCCAAGCCUGGUGCAGGAGGCUUUGGUGGCAUUGGAGGAGGAGGAGGGGGUAGUGGCAAUGAAGAAGGUAUAACGGAGCUAUCACCAGUGCCCGAUUGAUUGCUCUCUGGCAAAGGAGGAGGUGGUGGAGGUGGUGGCGGCGGCACUGCUAAAGCAGAAUCAUCU
rnacentral:lncRNA from 1 species